rnacentral:rRNA from 1 species
GCCCAACCAUAAACUUUGAUAAUAAGAUACAAAUAUUAUCCGCCAGGGAACUACAAGCGCAUUGCUCGAAACCCAACGGACUUGGCGGUGCCCCACACCCACCUAGAGGAGCCUGUUCUGUAACUGACAAUCCCCGUUUAACCUCACCACCCCUAGCUUAAUCAGUCUAUAUACCACCGUCGUAAGCUCACCCUGUGAAGGCCCAAUAGUAAGCAAGAUGGGCACAACCCAACACGUCAGGUCGAGGUGUAGCACAUGGGGCGGGAAGAAAUGGGCUACAUUUUCUGCCCAACAGAAUAUUAACGAAUAGCGACAUGAAACUGCCGCUUAAAGGAGGAUUUAGCAGUAAAAAGAAAAUAGAGAGUUCUUUUGAAGCCGGCCCUGGGGCGCGC